rnacentral:rRNA from 1 species
UACGAAGGGGGCUAGCGUUGCUCGGAAUUACUGGGCGUAAAGGGCGCGUAGGCGGAUAUUUAAGUUAGAGGUGAAAGCCCAGGGCUCAACCCUGGAACAGCCUUUAAUACUGGAUAUCUUGAGUUCGGGAGAGGUGAGUGGAACUCCGAGUGUAGAGGUGAAAUUCGUAGAUAUUCGGAAGAACACCAGUGGCGAAGGCGACUCACUGGCCCGAUACUGACGCUGAGGCGCGAAAGCGUGGGGAGCGAACAGG